rnacentral:tRNA from 1 species
GUGUUUGUAGCUCAGUGGAUAGAGUGGGUUAUUUCCAUGCAGGAGGUCGUGGGUUCGAAUCCUACCUAAUGUG